AAUUAAUAAAUAAUAAUAGUUUUUGUUUACAUUCACAAAUCCAAUAUCUACUACCACCGUUUGCAAGAAUGUUAUCAACCCAAGCUGGGGUUAGUUUGUUUAUUUUUCAUUCGUUUUUGGAGUAAUGUUUUGACUCCUUGGCUCUGAAAUUAAGCCACAAAAAAAAAAAAGCUACCAUUCCAUAAAGAAACCUACUCCACAAUUCCACGGCUCGCAAUACUCCCACAAACACUGGGGCUCUCCUCCUACUGUGCUCUUGCUGCAGUGCAGACUGCUGCCACCUGCCCUCAAAGAAGAAAUAUUACAGUUCACGUUUGGAAGACAUCUCACCACACUAUGGAUUUAAUCCUGGUUAAGUAUGUUGCCUGUGGCACCCUUAAACACGUGAGUGGCUUAUCAAUUUUCCCCUACUCACCUUCCAUCAUUCCAUUAAUUAUUUCUUCUAAUUUAUAUCCCUCUCUCUUUUUUUGCAGUUGCAAUUUACUGACGUCAUGUCUCACAUGCAUGCCUAACAUUGGACCUGGAUGUGGAUGAGGAGGAAGCAAAUAGAAAAACACAUGAGGUUUUUUCAGCACUUCAUAGUUUUUUGACAUCGAAAUAAUUUCUUCUAUGCCAUUGUCAGUGUAUCACCUCCACACUUCCCAGAGCUACAAAUCUAAACUCAUGCUUUAUCUUGGCCCUGGUAUUUUGAUUCCAUUCUGACCACCAGGGAUCUGAAUGCUGCUCAGCUCCAUGCAAGAUAACAUAUUUAUCAGCAUAUGACACGCACAUUUAACUCCUGAAAAGCUUUCUGUUAAAGACGGAAGAAAGAGUGAAGAUAAUGUUGAAGAUAAAGUUCUUAAAGGGUCCCAGUAGGUUGCAGUUUGCGCAGUCCUCCUUGAUAUAUCAAUCCCCCUUCAAAUCACAGUGUCCCUUUCACAGUCACGUUCUAAAGAUCAUGCACUUACCCUGAGGAGGAGCAAUGGUCCUGCCAGAAGCCGAUGCUGGAGGGUCUUGAAUGCAGCUUUCUGUUAAAGACGGAAGAAAGAGUGAAGAGUCAAGCUCUAUGAUUUUGACCCCUGCUGCUGAAUCCAGGGACAUCCUCUGCCAGAAGGACAUCUCUUAGCUCCGCCUCCCACUCUCGCAACUU